CUUAGAUCUUCAAAUGAGUGUCUGCUUAUAAUUCCAAGAGCUAAACUUAAAAGAAGUGGUGAGGUGGCCUUUUGCUGUUAUGCACCUAAAACCUGGUAUUCUUUA